GUGAAGAACUCGAUGAAUGAGAUGAAGAAUGCAUUGGAAAACAUUGUAAAAAGAGCAUGUCAUGUGGAAGAGAGAAUUAGUGAGCUUGAAGAUAGCUAUAAAUGGGGCAGGUAGAAGAGGAGAGACAGCUAACACUUUUUAAAAUGUAGAAAUUCUACAAGAACUAUCUGACUCCUUUUGAAAUGACAACAUAAGGGUAAUGGAUAUCACAGAAUGAGGAGAGAGAGAGAAGGGAGUAGAGAGCUUAUUUAAAGAAAUGGUAGCUGAGAACUUCCCAAACCUGGGGAAGGAACUGAAUAUACAAAUCCAUUGUGCAAGUAGAACACUCAAUUAUCUCAACACAAAAGGACCCUCUCCAAGACACGUGAUAACAAAACAGUCAAAAAUCAAUGACAAGAGGAUUGCUGGGAAGGUGGUAACACAGGACUCUGAACUGACCUUCUCCAAUGGACACAACAAAUUUACCCCUGUGGAAUGAUUACCUCUGAGUGAGAACUGAAGACUGUUAAAACGAACCCCGAAAACAAAGAACAACACUGACUGAGUUGUAAGAGGCAGAGAUACCUUCCUGCUGAGGAAAGAGUCACAUUCUUGCCAUGGUGCUUCAAGCCAGAGACAUUUUAAGGUAUGAAGCUUUUCCUGAAGGAGCAGGGGAUCUGAGGGGGAGAGUGAUGUCAUAAUAAGCAGCCUUCAAAUUCAGCACAACCAAAGACAAACUGGCUUUGCUGGUUAUUAAACCCAAAGGAGAAUACCCCCAGAAAACCUAUUGAAGAGAAGAGAAAGAAAAGCCUGCUUUCAAGGGGCCCAUGGAGAAAUUCACCCAUUCUAAAAACCAAACAAAAUCACCAGAAAGAAAGGUGCAUAGUCCUUUGGUUAAAAAAAAGACUCACUGGAUAAGCUCUGAGCACAUCUCAGAGAGGCAGAAGGUGAUUGGGAUCACCACCCCAGGGAGUGAACACUGGUCGGAGCCAUUAUUGUGACAUAAUACAGGCCUCUGAGACAGACAGUGGCAGAUGCAAUUGUAUUUCUUCCCAUGGUCUGUUAGCUGAGGGGUUUAGCCUACCCACUAGAGCAGUGAUUUAAUCCAGCUCAUCCAGGGAAGGCGCCCUGCCCUAGGGACUCACCCCACCCACUAGCCAGCCAACAGGGAACUUGUGGGGCUGUGUAGGUGGUGUGUUCUGGACCUCUACAGCAAGACAAGCAGGUCUGCUUCAGCAGAGCAGGGCAUGUACACAGGGUGGGCCUGUGUUGAUGGGGUUUAUGGUCCCACAGUGGGGUGGUGAGACUUCUCAGGUGCAGCAGGCUUGUGCUGUUGGCAUUCUUAUACAACAAAUAGGGAAUCUGCCCACCUUCCAACACCUGAAAUGAUUGUGUGCUCCCAUCCCUGAGUCUGGCGUCACAAGGUUGAGCUCCUGAGAGAGCUAACAACAGCCCGCAGACCAAAGGCCCAAAGAAAAUGUGAGGCCGUGACACUAGCAACCAGCCACACUGGGGCCUGACUCACUUUAUAGCAAAACAACAGCAGAAUCCAUGUCAUUCGAGGGCUUUAGAAACUCAGCGCCAUAGGAAGUUUGCAGAUGAAGCAUUUGUCCAGUCCAGACCUUGUACUGCAUGUCGGGCGCUCCCAGCACCGCCAGGGAAUUCUGGGGAAAGCCCAGGUGACCCUUUCCUAGCUGAAGACACAAAGGACCCCAAGGCCCCUUACCUGCGACAGGCCAAACUGAGGAACAGAAAGCUCACCCUCCUGAGGGCCGUUCGACAACAUGGUCAGCAACCAAACUCCUGCAAGACAAAAGCAAUAUAUGAGGCCUCAGGAAAUAAACCCAAAGCAGUAUUUGCAGAAUGCGGACUUCCAUGCCAGAAAGGGCUGUCGAGAAUAUGUCACAUUUCCUUUAACACACUUCUUGGGGAAGUCAACAUUUUGCCUGUCUAUUGUGACCCUUUAGCACUCGCACUUGAUACAUGCUCCUUCCUGCACGGUCCUCUCCUUUUGUGCUAAAUGCUUCCACUCUACAGUCAGUCAAGAGAAGAAAAAUGAUGGCGUGUGCAUGCCAGAGGGAGUCAGCACCCUCCAAAUCAUCAGGAGCAUGUGAAUUUCUGCCAUCACUUGUGUGGAGUGGGGGCCGCCCCUAGCUACGCAGCAGCCAGGCAAGGAUAACCGGGGCAAGAGGUCUAGAUGACUCCUUGGACAACUUUUAGCAAGGAUUUGCUGGGUGGAUUCUGAUUUGCUUCCAGAGAGGUCUGUGUGUUUGUGUGAGGGAGAGAGAUGGAGGGAGAGGGAAGGGAAGAUGAUUUCAUGGUUUGAAAGCUGCUGGGAAAGCUGGUUCCCACUAAAUGCAGAAAAGCCAUUGGACAAAAUCCAACACCCUUUGUGAUCAAAACACUCAGGACACUAGAAACACAAGGCAGCUCCCUGAGCCUGGGAAAGGGCAUCUGUGAACAAGACAGAGCUCACAUGCAUCAUACUUCACGGGAGAGACUGGAAGCCUCGUCCCUGACGUCAGGACAAGGUGAGCAAGGGCCACUCCCAUCAAUUCUAUUUUACAUUUACGGGAGGUUUUAGCCAUGUCAGAUAGGCAAGAAAAUGAAAUAAAAGGCAUCCAGAUUGGACGGAGUGAAGUAAAACUCUCUCUAUUUGCAAAUGACAUGACCAUGUAUAUAGGAAAUCAGAGAAAACAGAAAAAGUGUUGGAACGAAUAAACGACUUCUGCAAAAUGGCAGGAUACAAGAUCAGUAAAAAAACCCAAAACCACCACCAAUCUACGGAACUACAAGUUGGUGCAGCCACCAUGGAAAACAGUAUGGAAGUUCCUCCAAAGAUUAAAAACAGAACCACCAUAUGAUCCAGUAAUUCCACUUCUGGGUAUUUACACAAUGGAAACAGAAACAUUCCUGCAGACAGACAUCUGCCCCCCAUGUUCACUGCAGCAU
rnacentral:lncRNA from 1 species